rnacentral:rRNA from 1 species
UACGAAGGGGGCUAGCGUUGCUCGGAAUUACUGGGCGUAAAGCGCACGUAGGCGGCUUUCUAAGUCGGGGGUGAAAUCCUGGAGCUCAACUCCAGAACUGCCUUCGAUACUGGAAAGCUCGAGUCCGGAAGAGGCGAGUGGAAUUCCUGGUGUAGCGGUGGAAUGCGCAGAUAUCAGGAGGAACACCAAUAGCGAAGGCAGCUCGCUGGGACGGUACUGACGCUAAGGCGCGAAAAGCGUGGGGAGCGAACAGG